UCUGUGUCCUUUUACAUUAUG
rnacentral:misc_RNA from 1 species